rnacentral:lncRNA from 1 species
AAUUGAAAGAGUCGCGAGAGUUGAACUAAAAAUAUUUCGUUAACUUUCAAACAACAACUUCGCAACUAUUUUUCUUCUCUUUUAUCUUUUUUUUUCUUUUUCAGGUCAGAAGGAAUAUGUAAUGGCAUUCUUCUUUUUCUUUUCUAUUAUUUUCAAUUUUUUUUCUUUUUCAAUUUUUUUUCUUUUGUUCUUGAUAGACCAGAAUAUUUGUUAGAAUAUUCUUGUAAUAACAUCUGU